GGACGAACGCUGGCGGCGUGCCUAAUACAUGCAAGUAGAACGCACAGUUUAUACCGUAGCUUGCUACACCAUAGACUGUGAGUUGCGAACGGGUGAGUAACGCGUAGGUAACCUGCCUGGUAGCGGGGGAUAACUAUUGGAAACGAUAGCUAAUACCGCAUAAUAUUAAUUAUUGCAUGAUAAUUAAUUGAAAGGUGCAGUUGCACCACUACCAGAUGGACCUGCGUUGUAUUAGCUAGUAGGUGAGGUAACGGCUCACCUAGGCGACGAUACAUAGCCGACCUGAGAGGGUGAUCGGCCACACUGGGACUGAGACACGGCCCAGACUCCUACGGGAGGCAGCAGUAGGGAAUCUUCGGCAAUGGACGAAAGUCUGACCGAGCAACGCCGCGUGAGUGAAGAAGGUUUUCGGAUCGUAAAGCUCUGUUGUAAGAGAAGAACGGGUGUGAGAGUGGAAAGUUCACACUGUGACGGUAUCUUACCAGAAAGGGACGGCUAACUACGUG
rnacentral:rRNA from 1 species